rnacentral:lncRNA from 1 species
CCAAUUCAUGAAACUCAAUUCAUGAAACUCAAAUAAUUGAGGAUAAAGUAGUGCUCCCUGCACAUUUUAAAUUUAAAGUUUAAGAUCUGUCAAUAAAAACAACUUGUGUCGGCACAAUUGAUGAGAUACAAUAAUGAAGUCUUGAAGAGUCGACAUAGUCGGGGCCCCUUAGAGCUGUCACUGCAACUGAUCAUACAAUCCAGACUUCUCUCAGUCUAAUCACAUUUAACUUCUUCAAUUCUUCUUCUUCCCUUCUCUCAAAUCAUGUUAGAGAUGUACCAUGUUCAUACAUAGAGAAAAUAUAUAGCAAAUCGAUGAUGAUUAUAGAAUAAUAUCAUGGAUGAUAAUUAUCAAGACUUGAUCAGGAUCGGAAGAAGAACGAAGGAUGAUGAUUUUUUUUUUUUGAUUGAACGAAGGAUGAUGAUGGUCCCUACGAUACCCAUCUGCCAUCAUGCACUGUUGUUACCUGGAGGUCCAUGAGUCCAUCAACAUCUG